rnacentral:rRNA from 1 species
UCUGUGACCGGUGACCGAUCCCAUGCGAAACCCCUUCGACGAGUCGAGUUGUUUGGGAAUGCAGCUCAAAAUGGGUGGUAAAUUUCAUCUAAAGCUAAAUACUGGCUGGAGACCGAUAGCGCACAAGUAGAGUGAUCGAAAGAUGAAAAGCACUUUGGAAAGAGAGUCAAAAAGUACGUGAAAUUGUUGAAAGGGAAGCGCUUGCAACCAGACCUGUCCGUGGGUGAUCAGCCGCCGUUCUCGGUGGUGCACUCGCCUACGAUCAGGCCAGCAUCGGUUCGGGCGGUCGGACAAAGGCCUUGGGAAUGUAGCUCCUCUCGGGGAGUCUUAUAGCCCUCGGUGCAAUGCGGCCAGCCCGGACCGAGGACCGCGCUUCGGCUAGGAUGCUGGCGUAAUGGUUGUAAGCGACCCGUCUUGAAACACGGACCAAGGAGUCUAACAUCUAUGCGAGUGUUUGGGUGUCAAACCCAUACGCGGAAUGAAAGUGAACGGAGGUGAGAACCCUUUAGGGCGCAUCAUCGACCGAUCCAGAUGUCUUCGGAUGGAUUUGAGUAUGAGCAUAGCUGUUGGGACCCGAAAGAUGGUGAACUAUGCCUGAAUAGGGUGAAGCCAGAGGAAACUCUGGUGGAGGCUCGCAGCGGU